rnacentral:lncRNA from 1 species
CAUAAACAAAUAACCCAGCUAACAUAAUAGAAAGAAAAACAAACCAAACAAAUAACCCAGCUAACAUGUAUAAUAAAGAUAGCAAAAAAAAGGUAUAUAUAUACCCAGCUAAUCAGAGAUCAACAACAAAAAAUAGGCAGAGUAUAUGUAUAUAACCAGCUACUUGUUGUUCAGCUAACAGAGAGCAACAAAACAGAGAAAAAAUAGGCAGUUUAAAAAAAAUAAACAUAGCUAUCAAUAACCCAGCUAAUCAGUUACUGCAAAAAAAAAGCCUACAUUCAAAACCAAAAAAAAAUUCUGAUGCUUCAUAAUAUGCAGAACUAAAAAAAAAUUGUAAACCAAACAAACCAAAUAACCCAACCCAGCUAACAACAGCAUAUAUAUAUAAAAAAAUAUACUCAGCAGAUUCUAAAUACCCAUAUCAACAAAACAUAAUAAAAUCACAACCCUAAAGAUCAAAUCAACAGAAAAAAAAUAAACAAAA